GCCCGGAUAGUUUAACGGUCAGAACAUGGGUCUCAUAUUUCGGUAUGAUCGAGCUUAGCUCGAAUGACCUCUUUGGUUAUCCUCGUUGAUAUCCCAAGAUCUGAGUUCGAUUCUCAGUCCAGGCA